rnacentral:lncRNA from 13 species
CUGAAACAUUGCUGUUGGACAUUAGUAAAAAUAAGUCUCACGGCUAGACAAACUGUCAUAUACAAGCAUGAACUGGUAUCCAGAACAUAAUAUUUAAAUAAUGUUUCUGAAGACUGCACACAGUUUUGUUCAAUUUAUGUAAAGCUCAAACACCUGCAAAACUAAACAGGAUAAACUCUAUAGAUACAAUUAGGUUAAAAAAAUAUGACGAGGCUGGGCUCUGUGGCUCUUGCCUAUAACCCCAACACUUUGGGAGGCUGAGGUGGGUGGACCACUUGAGGCCGGGAAUUGCAGAUCAGUCUAGCCAACACGGCAAAAUCUUGUCUCUACUAAAAAUAUAAAAGCUAGCCAGGCAUGCUGUGACACACCAGUAAUCCCAGCUGAGGCAUGAGAAUUGCUUGAACCCAGGAGGCGGAGUUUGCAGUGAGCUGAGAUCAUACAACUGCACUUCAACUUGGGCGACAGAGCAAGACUCUGUGUCAAAAAAAAAAAACCCUUAAAAAACAAAGCAAAAAAAGCCCAAACCAAAGCAAACCAAAAACAAAACAAAACAAAAACCCAACUAUGAUGAUAAACAAGUAAAACAGCAACCACACAAAACCUUUGUGGAGAAGAGAGAAAAGGGGAUAAAGGAAGACCACAUAGAGAAUUUCAAAGAUACUAAAUUUAUCUAGAGCAGACUUUGGCUCCAAACUCAGAACAGAUGGAGAGAGACAUGCUGUCUAAGAAAAGCAGAAAUGACAAAAUUGCAUUCCGGUUUGAAUGUUCUUCAUUAAGAGUGUUUAUUGUGUUAAUGCUGUGACUACAUCAUCCUACUCCAAGGGGGAUUCCCCCUUCACUCGGCUCUCAUUCUUCUCCUUCUUGCUGCCACAUGAAGAAGGAUGUGCUUGCUUCCCCUUCCAAAAUAUCUAAGAGAAGAAUUUCCCAAGGGGAGAAAAGACAAGAAACCAGACUUCCCUUUCAAAGAGUUAGCUUCACACAGACUAGAGUCAUGGAGAAAUGGGAUUGAAAAUGAAACGGUGGGAAUUGGAAUUCCUAAAUUUCAACAUUACUUACCUUUUUUGGGAAGGGCACACUGUGGGGUGCAGAAUGACUGGUGUUCCAAAAUUCUAACCCCACUCGGUAGAGGUGGCUUCUUGCUGGUGGAUUCCGGGUUCUCAGAUCAGAUAAUACCCUGGAAGUCCAACUUCUCUCCCCAGACAGUGUCAACUUUGUAUCCACACAUCAUUUAG